GACGAACGCUGGCGGCGUGCUUAACACAUGCAAGUCGAACGGAAAGGCCCUUCGGGGUACUCGAGUGGCGAACGGGUGAGUAACACGUGGGUGAUCUGCCCUGUACUUUGGGAUAAGCCUGGGAAACUGGGUCUAAUACCGAAUAGGACCACGCGCUUCAUGGUGUGUGGUGGAAAGCUUUUGCGGUGUGGGAUGGGCCCGCGGCCUAUCAGCUUGUUGGUGGGGUAAUGGCCUACCAAGGCGACGACGGGUAGCCGGCCUGAGAGGGUGACCGGCCACACUGGGACUGAGAUACGGCCCAGACUCCUACGGGAGGCAGCAGUGGGGAAUAUUGCACAAUGGGCGCAAGCCUGAUGCAGCGACGCCGCGUGAGGGAUGACGGCCUUCGGGUUGUAAACCUCUUUCAAUAGGGACGAAGCGCAAGUGACGGUACCUAUAGAAGAAGCACCGGCCAACUACGUG
rnacentral:rRNA from 1 species